CGUCGUCUCCCUUCUCCUCCCGGAAGCAAGGGUGAUGAUGAUAUAUCUGGUUUGCGUUGCCGCACUUGACGGCCGCAGUCCUUGUUGCUUGAUUCCCACCAACCCCAUCUCUCGUCUACGGACGGGUGCCUCCUCUUCCGUACUGAUGCUUGAUAACUACUUGAUAGUUGCCAACCUUGGCUCUUGAAAUACCCGGGGAGUGGGGCCUCCAGCAAAGCACAAACAACAUCCUUUUAUUGUUCUUUUUACUACAACCGCAGUCUGUUUGCUUUCCCGCGUAAAAAGUCCGCACCCUCUUUGGAUCUCGGUUGGCAAUGGGCAGUCAAGUUUUCGUUUCUGGCUCUCAUACGCUGCGAUCUUUCCCUUGAACGGGGCCAAGGAUAAAAAGUGAAAAGCCACCAUUUCGAGACUCCGGGGUGCAAAAAAAAAAAAAAAAAAGAAAAAAAAGAAAAGAAAAAAAAAAA
rnacentral:sRNA from 1 species